rnacentral:tRNA from 1 species
GCCUUGGUAGCUCAGUGGUAGAGCGUGUGCUUGGUAAGCACAAGGUCGUGGAUUCAACUUCCAUCCAAGGCU